UACGAAGGGGGCUAGCGUUGUUCGGAAUUACUGGGCGUAAAGCGCGGGCAGGCGGCUAUCCAAGUCAGUGGUGAAAGCCCGGAGCUCAACUCCGGAACUGCCAUUGAAACUGUUUAGCUUGAGGACGAGAGAGGUGAGUGGAAUUCCCAGUGUAGAGGUGAAAUUCGUACAUAUUGGGAAGAACACCAUUGGCGAAGGCGGCUCACUGGCUCGUUUCUGCCGCUCAGGCGCGAUAGCGUGGGGAUCAAACAGG
rnacentral:rRNA from 1 species